CUAUUCAAAAAGGAGACUCCCUUACUUUAUCAAAUUGUUUGAAAAUGGAAUACAGAUUAGUAUGUAAUUACGGUUUACGUAAAGAUGGUGACUUCUGCGAAGGUGUGAGGGUCCUUUUAAUAGACAAAGACUAAAAACCAAAAUGGUAUCCAAAAAAUCUAAGUCAAAUAUCUGACACAUACAUAAAUUAACAAUUUAUAGAUUUACCAUUGGAAAACGAAUUACUAAUUUGAAAAGAAUAGUACAAGAUUUGUAUUAGUCCAGUACCAUCCAUAGAUGAGUUAGAGAAGAAUUGUUGAAAUAUGGAACAAAAUCAAUCUCGAUUAUUGGAGAACAUUAAUAGAAUCAGUGCCAAAGUGAUCUAAUUUAUUUCGCAAAACAAAAAAACUUUUAACAAAAUAUUGGAUAUUUUUUACAGUUUUACAGAAAAAGUUGAUAAAAAUAUCAAUUUCUGCAGCCUUUGUCAAUUUCACGAAAAUCGGGAGAAGAGCGGCUUAAUUGCAAUAUUACCCAAUUUUUAAAAUAUAAUUUAAUUUAAAUACAUUAAAAUAAAUAAACAUGUACUAAUUACAAAGUUAAUGUAUGUAACAAAAUCUAAACAUAUAUUUAAUAAUUAACACAGGAUACAUAUAAAUGUGUAAUAAUGUUACACAAAAUAGUCAAAUAAUUAAGUAAUAACUGUUUGUAUAACACACUUAUUGCAAAACUGUUUUAUUAUAUUUCAUUUAUAAAAGGUAAUACAAAAUACAAAAUAUAAUGCAGAAUA